rnacentral:rRNA from 1 species
UACAGAGGGUGCGAGCGUUGUUCGGAAUUACUGGGCGUAAAGCGCACGCAGGUGGCUGAGAAAGUCGAUUGUGAAAGCCCUGGGCUUAACCUGGGAAUUGCAGUCGAAACUACUCGGCUAGAGUAUGGGAGAGGGUAGUGGAAUUCCCGGGUGUAGCGGUGAAAUGCGUAGAUAUCGGGGAGGAACAUCAGUGGCGAAGGCGGCUACCUGGCCCAAUACUGACACUCAGGUGCGACAGCGGUGGGGAGCAAACAGGG